AGAGUUUGAUCGAUGGCUCAGGAUGAACGCUAGCUACAGGCUUAACACGAUGCAAGUCGAGGGGCAGCGGGGAUCUAGCUUGCUAGAUCUGCCGGCGACCGGCGCACGGGUGAGUAACGCGUAUCCAACUUCCCCUUAGUAGGGCAUAGCCCGUAGAAAUGCGGAUUAAUACCCUAUGUUCUUCGUCGAAGACAUCUGAAGUGAAGCAAAGAUUUAUCGCUAAGGGGAUGGGGAUGCGUCUGAUUAGCUUGCCGGCGGGGUAACGGCCCACCGGGGCAACGAUCAGUAGGGGUUCUGAGAGGAAGGUCCCCCCACAUUGGAACUGAGACACGGUCCAAACUCCUACGGGAGGCAGCAGUGAGGAAUAUUGGUCAAUGGACGGGAGUCUGGACCAGCCAAGUAGCGUGCAGGAUGACGGCCCUAUGGGUUGUAAACUGCUUUUAUGCGGGGAUAAAGUUCACUACGUGUAGUGUUUUGUAGGUACCGCAUGAAUAAGGACCGGCUAAUUCCGUGCCAGCCGCGGC
rnacentral:rRNA from 1 species